rnacentral:rRNA from 1 species
GCGACGAUGCGUAGGGGUUCUGAGAGGAAGGUCCCCCACACUGGUACUGAGACACGGACCAGACUCCUACGGGAGGCAGCAGUGAGGAAUAUUGGUCAAUGGGAGAGAUCCUGAACCAGCCAAGCCGCGUGAGGGAAGACGGCCCUAUGGGUUGUAAACCUCUUUUGUCGGAGAACAAAACCCGGGACGUGUCCCGGACUGCGUGUAUCCGAAGAAAAAGCAUCGGCUAACUCCGUGCCAGCAGCCGCGGUAAUACGGAGGAUGCGAGCGUUAUCCGGAUUUAUUGGGUUUAAAGGGUGCGUAGGCGGUCUGUUAAGUCAGCGGUAAAAUUGCGGGGCUCAACCCCGUCGAGCCGUUGAAACUGGCAGACUUGAGUUGGCGAGAAGUACGCGGAAUGCGCGGUGUAGCGGUGAAAUGCAUAGAUAUCGCGCAGAACUCCGAUUGCGAAGGCAGCGUACCGGCGCCAGACUGACGCUGAGGCACGAAAGCGUGGGGAUCGAACAGGAUUAGAUACCCUGGUAGUCCACGCAGUAAACGAUGAAUGCUGGUUGUCCGGGUCGAAUGAGACC